CAACUAAAAUUGCGUUUUGAUUGUUCGGACUUGGAGUGUCAGAGGUGUCCAAUAGAUGACAUAGGUGUUCUUGUUUAUCAUGUGAUGGCGGAUUGUUGAUUGGUUUGUCUAAAGCUUUCCUGUAUUUUCCUUUUUUUUUCCAUGAAAAUUACCGAUGAAUUCAUAAGAAGGAACGGGAAAGGAAACAGUAGCAUACAAUAGCCUACCAUCACUACCACCAACUCUUUAUUAAAAACCGUCGUUCUGCUGAAUGCAUCGCAUCAUGCAGUUAAUACAGGUUACUACCCUAGUGUGGACAUGUUUGUUUUUCUGAACACGUUUUUCAACAAAUAAUUCAUUGACAUACAAGGAAAGCUAUGAAAAAUAUCAUAUCAUCUAGGCCAUGGGUAAUCUUCAGGUUUAUUGCAGCAGCUUAAAAGAAGAAGGUGAACAAAUGCAGGGCACAUACCAACAUGUGUUGUAUUUUUCUGAAUGUUAAACACAGGCAUUAGAUUCAUUAUGACUAACUGUUUGAUGCCAAAGUUAGUCGGAACUCAACUCACAUUUUACAUACAGAUAACUGGUGCUGCAUGUUGCCUUUCAGCCACAGGCAGGAAAAUGAUUCUUUUCUUCAGAAAAUUGGAAAGCUGCCUGGAGUAAUCGGUUGCCUGGAGAAUCUGGUGUUCAUGCUCAUUUGAUUCAUUUCGUGCCAGCUAAUGAAAGCCGAAAGCGAAAGGCAUGUCGAAUUCAAUUGAGCUGCUGCGUGCUGUCUCGAAGCAAGAAAUCCAGCCGUUGCGUUCAGUCAUUUGGAACAGGAAUCUAAUGGCUGUCAACAGGUGGCUCUGUGAAUAAGUGGCUGAAAUGAUGUCCACCAGAUGGCGCGAGUGUCUUCAGGGACGCUCAGCGGCCAUUUUGUUCCUAGACGCAGCAGAAAUUGGCUGUUGGUUGUGACGUUUCUCACAAUGAAAAUUAAAAGGUGAUUUAGCACGCAGAAACCAAUUUGCAAAAUCAUUCAACUCAGACUUCAUGGAAGUUGGAAGUGCCUGUACAUUUCCGAAAUGGCGUGCCUCGUGUGUCUCGCUGUCUGUUCUUAGGCUUGCGUCUCAUCCCAUGCAACAUCAAAAAGUAUAACAAAAGUUCUUCAACGCUGGUGGUUACCUUGUUGCAGCCAAAUGGUGAAAGGUGUGAUGAAGACGGAUUGAACCAUUGAAGUAGCAUGCCGUUGCAGUGUAAUCCAGAAGUUGCUGUGCUGUUGUAGCUGAGCUGUUCCAUCUGGGUUCCUGACUUCAAAAAUUUUGUGUUGUCGUUUUCAUCCAUGCCAUAUGAAAUUGCUCUGCCAGUGAUAUUUUGUGUUGCUGCGGUAAAAGUUUGAUGUGUUGUCUUUUGAGUUUUCAUUCAAUCAUGCAGUAUACGACUGAGGCAACCUGAUCAAUGUCAGGUUUGAAACAGUCGAGAACUGCUAGAUAAAACCAGCUUUCUGCACCAAACAAAUAAUAACUUGCAUAUAACUUGCAUCAUGUUAUUAUCGCGGUAGAGAAAGCGACAGGCCCCCCCCCCUGGGGGCCACAGGAAAAAUGUAUAUGAUGAAUAUAAAUAUUAUAAAAAUAAAUUCUUUAUGCAAUAAAA